GACGAACGCUGGCGGCGUGCUUAACACAUGCAAGUCGAACGGAAAGGCCCUGCUUUUGUGGGGUGCUCGAGUGGCGAAAGGGUGAGUAACACGUGAGUAACCUGCCCUUGACUUUGGGAUAACUUCAGGAAAAUGGGGCUAAUACCGGAUAGGAGCUCCUGCAGCAUGGUGGGGGUUGGAAAGUUUCGGCGGUUGGGGAUGGACUCGCGGCUUAUCAGCUUGUUGGUGGGGUAGUGGCUUACCAAGGCUUUGACGGGUAGCCGGCCUGAGAGGGUGACCGGCCACAGUGGGACUGAGAUACGGCCCAGACUCCUACGGGAGGCAGCAGUGGGGAAUAUUGCACAAUGGGCGGAAGCCUGAUGCAGCAACGCCGCGUGCGGGAUGACGGCCUUCGGGUUGUAAACCGCUUUCGCCUGUGACGAGGCGUGAUUGACGGUAAUGGGUAAAGAAGCACCGGCUAACUACGUG
rnacentral:rRNA from 1 species